rnacentral:lncRNA from 1 species
GCGCCGUGAGGGGCGGCUGGCGGCCGCGCUGCGGUGGCGCGGUCCGGGGCCUGCCGGUAGUCGGCGUUUGCCGCGGUCCCUUCCGUUGCCCUGGCUGCGCGGCGGCCCUGGGGCGGUAGGCAGGCCGGGGUGGGGACGGCCGCCUUGCCCUCGCCUCGCCCCGCCGGCGCCAGGUGCGGGCCUCCUGUGCUGGGUGCCCGCAACCCCCCGCGCUAGGUGUGUCUUCACGGCCUGCAGCCGGGGUGUGAGAGAGAGGUUGAUGUGGGUGGCAUAACUGAGUGGGGAAUGCUGCUUGAUGGCGGGGUUGUGACCCAUGUGCUGUGCAGCGUGUGGCGCACCGGCUGUCGUCACCGUUGGCACUACCUAAUUGUGUGGAUGAGCACUUAGAGCAACAGAUUAGAAGUGGUACAUCAGAGAUUCUGGACGAGACCAUUCUUCUCAUUAAAGACAAGGUGAUGGAAAUGAGCCACAUCUAUGCCAAAGUUGAUAAAUUAGAGAAAUAGUAAAACUGGAAAGCAUGGCAAGGGAAGUCACAAGGCUGAACACAGAAAAGAAGUUCUCUCUCAGAAAUUUUUAAACAGAUGAAGACUCAGCUUGAAGGAGGACAGGAUAGAGAUUUGUGGUCAUUCUGUAUGUGGAGCAGAGACAUCCUUGAUCAGCAGCACGCCCCUAUGACCUGCCAAAGCUCUACCGAAGACUUUUUUCCUAUGAACUAUGUAGGUACUAAGUAUCAAAAUAAUUAAUUUUUCACUACCAAAAGUUUUUUAGGAAAGGCUGUCGGAGUUUAUUCUUACAGUUCAUGCUUUAUGACGUUAGGAAGAAGCAACUGUUACAGAUCUUUGGCUAGUAUCUCUAAGGGAAGUGAAAAAUUUCUGAUCAUAUUGUAGCUCUAUGGAGGCUGGAAUGUUUAUUCUAAGAUUUGAUCACAAUAGUUUGCACUUACUCGAUAAGCUUCCUAAAUCAAUGAAAAAAAUGUACAAAACCUCUCUUCGUUUUCCUACACGUUUUUUACUUUUAAGUGAUCAGGAGGUU